UACGUAGGGGGCGAGCGUUGUCCGGAUUUAUUGGGCGUAAAGAGCUCGUAGGCGGCCUGAUAAGUCGGGUGUGAAAGCCCUGGGCUCAACCCAGGAAGUGCACUCGAAACUGUCAGGCUUGAAUAUGGAAGAGGGUCGCGGAAUUCCCGGUGUAGAGGUGAAAUUCGUAGAUAUCGGGAGGAACACCAGUGGCGAAGGCGGCGACCUGGGCCAAUAUUGACGCUGAGGUGCGAAAGCGUGGGGAGCAAACAGG
rnacentral:rRNA from 1 species